AGUGAACGCUGGCGGUAGGCCUAACACAUGCAAGUCGAACGGCAGCACAGUAAGAGCUUGCUCUUACGGGUGGCGAGUGGCGGACGGGUGAGGUAUACAUCGGAAUCUACUUUUUCGUGGGGGAUAACGUAGGGAAACUUACGCUAAUACCGCAUACGACCUACGGGUGAAAGCAGGGGAUCUUCGGACCUUGCGCGAUUGAAUGAGCGGAUGUCGGAUUAGCUAGUUGGCGGGGUAAAGGCCCACUAAGGCGGCGAUCCGUAGCUGGUCUGAGAGGAUGAUCAGCCACACUGGAAGUGAGACACGGUCCAGACUCCUACGGGAGGCAGCAGUGGGGAAUGUUGGACAAUGGGCGCAAGCCUGAUCCAGCCAUACCGCGUGGGUGAAGAAGGCCUUCGGGUUGUAAAGCCCUUUUGUUGGGAAAGAAAAGCAGCAGGUUAAUACGCCGCUGUUCUGACGGUACCCAAAGAAUAAGCACCGGCUAACUUCGUG
rnacentral:rRNA from 1 species